GCGAUGAGCUAAUUUGCAUAAGACGAGAUUGACGCGCCUUUUAGGCAAUGCACUAUGUGGAGUGCUGUCUCUCGCAGCAAUACGCACAAAAGACGUCCUUAAGGGCGUCUU
rnacentral:sRNA from 1 species